rnacentral:tRNA from 1 species
GCUUCGGUGGCGAAACCGGUAGACGCGCUGGAUUCAAAAUCCAGUUCCAUUUGGAGUGUGGGUUCGAUUCCCACCCGAAGUA